rnacentral:rRNA from 1 species
UACGUAGGGUGCAAGCGUUAAUCGGAAUUACUGGGCGUAAAGCGUGCGCAGGCGGCUCCUUAAGUCAGAUGUGAAAUCCCCGGGCUUAACCUGGGAACUGCAUUUGUGACUGCAUAGCUAGAGUACGGUAGAGGGGGAUGGAAUUCCGCGUGUAGCAGUGAAAUGCGUAGAUAUGCGGAGGAACACCGAUGGCGAAGGCAAUCCCCUGGACCUGUACUGACGCUCAUGCGACGAAAAGCGUGGGGAGCAAAC